GCUAGCGGCAGGCCUAACACAUGCAAGUCGAGGGAGAGGUUACCUUCGGGUAACUGGAACCGGCGCACGGGUGCGUAACGCGUAUACAAUCUGCCUUACACAUAGGGAUAGCCCGAAGAAAUUUGGAUUAAUACCUAAUGGUAUAUAAGAGCGGCAUCGUUUUUAUAUUAAAGCUACGGUGGUGAAAGAUGAGUAUGCGUUCUAUUAGCUAGUUGGAGAGGUAACGGCUCCCCAAGGCGACGAUAGAUAGGGGUUCUGAGAGGGAUGUCCCCCACACUGGUACUGAGAUACGGACCAGACUCCUACGGGAGGCAGCAGUGAGGAAUAUUGGACAAUGGUCGGAAGACUGAUCCAGCCAUGCCGCGUGCAGGAUGAAGGUCCUAUGGAUUGUAAACUGCUUUUGUAAGGGAAGAAUAAGGGGUACGUGUACUUUGAUGACGGUACCUUACGAAUAAGCAUCGGCUAACGCCGUGCCAGCAGCCGCGGUAAUACGGAGGAUGCGAGCGUUAUCCGGAAUCAUUGGGUUUAAAGGGUCCGUAGGCGGGCUGAUAAGUCAGAGGUGAAAGCGCUUAGCUCAACUAAGCAACUGCCUUUGAAACUGUCAGUCUUGAAUGAUUGUGAAGUAGUUGGAAUGUGUAGUGUAGCGGUGAAAUGCUUAGAUAUUACACAGAACACCGAUAGCGAAGGCAUAUUACUAACAAUUUAUUGACGCUGAUGGACGAAAGCGUGGGGAGCGAACAGGAUUAGAUACCCUGGUAGUCCACGCUGUAAACGAUGGAUACUAGCUGUUUGGAGCAAUCUGAGUGGCUAAGCGAAAGUGAUAAGUAUCCCACCUGGGGAGUACGCACGCAAGUG
rnacentral:rRNA from 1 species